UACGUAGGUGGCAAGCGUUAUCCGGAAUUAUUGGGCGUAAAGCGCUCGCAGGCGGUUUCUUAAGUCUGAUGUGAAAGCCCACGGCUCAACCGUGGAGGGUCAUUGGAAACUGGGAGACUUGAGUGCAGAAGAGGAGAGUGGAAUUCCACGUGUAGCGGUGAAAUGCGUAGAGAGUGUGGAGGAACACCAGUGGCGAAGGCGACUCUCUGGUCUGUAACUGACGCUGAGGAGCGAAAGCGUGGGAGCAACAGGGAGU
rnacentral:rRNA from 1 species